rnacentral:rRNA from 1 species
AGGAGGUGCGGCGUGCUUACCAUGCAGUCGAGCGGUAAGGCCCUUCGGGGUACACGAGCGGCGAACGGGUGAGUAACACGUGGGUGAUCUGCCCUGCACUUCGGGAUAAGCCCGGGAAACUGGGUCUAAUACCGGAUACGACCUUCGGCUGCAUGGCUGGGGGUGGAAAGGUUUACUGGUGCAGGAUGGGCCCGCGGCCUAUCAGCUUGUUGGUGGGGUAAUGGCCUACCAAGGCGACGACGGGUAGCCGACCUGAGAGGGUGACCGGCCACACUGGGACUGAGACACGGCCCAGACUCCUACGGGAGGCAGCAGUGGGGAAUAUUGCACAAUGGGCGAAAGCCUGAUGCAGCGACGCCGCGUGAGGGAUGAAGGCCUUCGGGUUGUAAACCUCUUUCAGCAGGGACGAAGCGCAAGUGACGGUACCUGCAGAAGAAGCACCGGCUAACUACGUGCCAGCAGCCGCGGUAAUACGUAGGGUGCAAGCGUUGUCCGGAAUUACUGGGCGUAAAGAGUUCGUAGGCGGUUUGUCGCGUCGUUUGUGAAAACUCACAGCUCAACUGUG